GAAAUGCGAUAAGUAAUGUGAAUUGCAGAAUUCAGUGAAUCAUCGAAUCUUUGAACGCACAUUGCGCCCGCCAGCACUCUGGCGGGCAUGCCUGUUCGAGCGUCAUUUCAACCCUCAGAACCCCUUGCGGGAUCUGGCGUUGGGGAUUGGCAUCCAGCCAGCCCCGAAAUCUAGUGGCGGUCCCUCCGCGACCUCCCCUGUGCAGUAGCGAUACCUCGCAGCGGGACAGCGGUCUGACCACGCCGUUAAACCCCCAACUUCUCAAGGUUGACCUCGAAUCAGGUAGGAAUACCCGCUGAACUUAAGC
rnacentral:misc_RNA from 1 species